CGGCCCGGCCCCUGCCCCGGGGGGCCCCGCUCGGAGGGAAGGUUGAGGAAUCACGUCCCUGUUUGGCUCCAGAUGGUCCCGUCUUCCAGGAGACAGGGAAGGGAAAUGGCUGUGAUGGAGCCAGUUCAGAUGCCGGUGACCUUUGAGGAGGUGGCUGUGUAUUUCACCC